rnacentral:tmRNA from 1 species
GGGGGCGACACGGCUUCGACGUGGGCGCUGAAGCAUGAGGAGCAUACCGGAGAGCAUGAGGACUUCGUAAAAACAUGCAAAUAUUUAUUCGGCAACGAAUAUCAACUUGCUGCUUAAUUAAUUUUAAGCGCACGAUCCCUUACUAGUGGUGACGAAGUAAGACCAGAUCGUCAUUAGUUACCACGGACUGCAUGGUGUUCUCAGCGUGCAGCUUUAAAUAAAGUCUGGGGAAAAUGUUGCUUACGGAUUUUGCCACUGGAAGACGUAAGACCAAAUUAAAACAGGGGACAAGUAUGUAGCGCCUUAUCGUGGAUCGCUUGCGGACGGGGGUUCAAUUCCCCCCGCCUCCACCA